GAUUUGUAUGGAGAGCACUAUGAAGGAACUCGAAGAAGAAGAGACUGGGCCCCGGUGGUUUGGACCCUGUAGAGGUCUAUGAAUCUCUGCCGAAGAAAUGGUGCUGCUGAGACCUGCUUCCCGCCCCGGUUGUGUUCCGAUCCCACACGUCUGCUUCAUGAUGAGCAGGACGACAUCCUCAAGCUUCAUCCGUCAAAAAAAUGACCCGGAGUGGGAGACAACGCGCCCCCUUUUUCCCUCCCCAGCUGUGGGUGACAUGUAAUAAUGAGGCGACCCGUCACUGCCUCCUGCAGCAGCGAGGCAGUGAAAGCAGAGGAUCCUGCUCUCCAGGUGUUACUGCAGGUUGAGCUGCGGGAUAAGGAGGGAUUGAGAGGAGCAUAAUCCCUCGCACAUGGCUACAGCAACUUUGAUCUAGAGAACCAAGCCAGGCAGACAGAUCAUCCUGCAGCAUGUGUGCUAUCAGAGGAUUCUCACACCACACCUGGCCGUUUGCAGCCCAGUCACCAGAACUGGAGUGUUGACACUGUACGUUUUCUUUUCUCCAACCACGGAUUAAAUCUGUGCAUUUCAUACGUGUCAUGUGAACAUUUCUGAAUACCUGUCAAUCAUUCAGACGGGAGGCAGAGACCACUCUCAGGACAUCAAGUUCAAAU